AGUGAACGCUGGCGGUAGGCCUAACACAUGCAAGUCGAACGGCAGCACAGAGGAGCUUGCUCCUUGGGCGGCGAGUGGCGGACGGGUGAGGAAUACAUCGGAAUCUACUCUGUCGUGGGGGAUAACGUAGGGAAACUUACGCUAAUACCGCAGACGACCUACGGGUGAAAGCAGGGGAUCUUCGGACCUUGCGCGAUUGAAUGAGCCGAUGUCGGAUUAGCUAGUUGGCGGGGUAAAGGCCCACCAAGGCGACGAUCCGUAGCUGGUCUGAGAGGAUGAUCAGCCACACUGGAACUGAGACACGGUCCAGACUCCUACGGGAGGCAGCAGUGGGGAAUAUCGGACAAUGGGCGCAAGCCUGAUCCAGCCAUACCGCGUGGGUGAAGAAGGCCUUCGGGUUGUAAAGCCCUUUUGUUGGGAAAGAAAUCCAUCUGGUUAAUACCCGGGUGGGAUGACGGUACCCAAAGAAUAAGCACCGGCUAACUUCGUGCCAGCCGCCGCCGUAA
rnacentral:rRNA from 1 species